rnacentral:RNase_P_RNA from 1 species
AAACCGCAAGCGUGCAGUCGCUGUAUGGCUUAACGCCACGCAGAGGAAAGUCCGAACUUCACAGGGCAGGGUGCCGGUCGAGAACAUGGUUCAAGCCCGGGAACAGCGGCGCAAGCCGUCUGUUACAGAGAGUGCAACAGAAAGCGAACCGCUCCGGCUUUCCGGAGUAAGGGUGAAAAGGCGGUGUAAGAGACCACCAGGUAUUUCAGUGAUGGAAUACGCUAUGAAAACCUCCCCGAAGCAAGGCCGAAUAAGAGAGCUUUUUCCACUGGAAAGAAGGGUUGCCCGCCCAAUUUCGCAAGAAUAGUUUUCGGGUAGGCCGCAUCAGAUAAAUGGCUGCAGUUUCACCACUUGAUGGUGAUUCACAGAAUUCGGCUUACAGCUUCGGUUUCAGC